CGACUGGCUGUUGGCUGAGGCGCUGGGAGUGGCGCGGGGUGGGUUUCCUUGCCAGGUCCGAGUGGCGGACAGAGAUGGCAGCCUCUGGAGCUUGGGCUGGAGCCGACGAAACGGCGACAGGAACGUGUGCUUGAACCGCCGGAGCGGCGUUAGGUGCGGGUUCGUGAACCGCCGGAGCGGCGACAGGAACAAGAGCUCGAACUGCUGGAGCGGCAACAGGAACGGGAACUUUAGCCGACGGAGCGGCGACAGGAACGGGGACGUGAACCGCUGGAGAGGCGACAGGAACGGGAGCUUGAACCGCCGGCGCGGCAAAUGGAAAGGGAACGGACGCCGAAGGAACGGCGGCAGGAGCAGCUGCGGCAGCACAGGCGGACGAUGCGCGCAGGGCGCGUGCCAAACCCCUCUUCGCCGGAGUCUGUCAUAGAACGCCUGCACCCCAGGAAACUCAAACCACCAACAUUUGUCCUCCAGUAUUUCGAGGGCCAGUUUCACUAGGCGGAGACGGGCAUCAAGACUGGGCCUUCCGCAUAUUCUUUAGCUAGUCUCUGGAGGUCCCCGCGGAUAUCCUCCGGUAAGCCCGGGCAGCAAAACUCUAUUCUCCGGCGAGUGGGAAGUGCACGCGGCCGAACAGACAGGGAAAAAGGAAAAAACGAAAAACAAAAACAGGCACUGACCUGGAUGAAGGCUGGGCACUGGCUGGGUCCAAGUCUGGCCAGAUCAUUCUGUCAAGAUACGGCAGAGAGCGGACCCACAUGCACAGUGCCAGGACACAAGGUAGGUGGUGAAAAAAUUAGGUUUAUUCCAAUAAUCGUCAGUGAAGACAGUCCAGGUCAUACACAGCAAGACUCAGGUUUAAGGUACAAGAACGGCAGGCGUAAUCAGGUCCAUAGACAGGCAAGGUUCAACAACAGAUUAAUCACGGCUACAGUAUCAGUCCGGGUUGAGCAGAAGUCGGCGGUCAGAAGUGCGGAACAGGAUCGGAAACGGGAUGAUCUGAACUGGUGUGCAUGGUGAACCGGGAGUGACAGGAAACAGCUGUGACAUGGAUGAAACAGGAAGUCCUCUCAAAAUAAAACAGGAAACAAAACCA
rnacentral:lncRNA from 1 species